UACGUAGGGGGCUAGCGUUGUCCGGAAUCAUUGGGCGUAAAGCGCGCGUAGGUGGCCUCAUAAGUCCGCUGUGAAAGUCAAAAGGCUCAACCUUUGAAAGCCGGUGGAUACUGUGAGGCUAGAGUACGGAAGAGGCGAGUGGAAUUCCUGGUGUAGCGGUGGAAUGCGCAGAUAUCAGGAGGAACACCGGUGGCGAAGGCGGGUCUCUGGGCCGAUACUGACGCUGAGACGCGAAAGCGUGGGGAGCAAACAGG
rnacentral:rRNA from 1 species